UUUAACAAAAAAAUGUGCGCUUAAGACAAAGCCAAGUCUCACACAUUCUGACCUGAGCCAUCACUGUCUCUGUAGUGCCGAAGGUCACCUCCGGCGGAGGGCCAACCACUGAAAAUCAUGUACCAUCAUUUUCGUUUCAAUGUGCUUUAUUCGAAUCCACAAGUAAUUUCCCUGAAUUCUAAUCUUAAGGCCUAAAUUGAGUUGAAACAUCUCAAGAACCCUAGGUAAAUAAACUUAAAUUAAAUUGUAACCAUGCUCUGAGUCAAUCAGCAACCAAGGGGUUAAUGAUCUACUACCCUCAACCAACCAACCGGUAAAAAUAAUUUGAAGAAACUGAGUGAAAUCGUAUGAGCUCAUCGGAGCAAUUCGAAGUUGAAAAUGCGUAACCAGCAAGGUAAUCCACUGCACUCUUCUCUUCGUAUAAAUUAUUCUCUCAUCUUUUUAUUGAUGUUUGUUGAUGUGUAUGUUCAUGAGUGAUUGAUAAUUGUUAGAGAUAGUAUGUUAGGUCAGGAAUGUUGUUAGGCAGUUAGAAAGUUUGUUAGGAUUGUGUUGGGUAGUUAGCAUGGUUAUGACAGUUAUAAGUGAAUUGAGAUAUGUUAGACGGUUAGGAGUUAGAGGAAUGACAACUAUUGGUUAAGUGAGCUGAGGUUAGUUGAGAAUUGACAUGAGGUUAGUUAAGUCAAUUAGGGGAUUUAUGUCAGGUAUGUUAUGGAUGGUUAAGGUUAGUGCAGAAUUUUUUGUCAGGCACAUGAAUUGCUCUGAUGGUUAGAUGAAUGUUGUGCUUUGUUAUGCUAUGAUAUAAGUGUGUUUGAAAUGUUGCAUUGAUGUUUGUUAUUGGUUAGGUAAUUGGUUAGUUGUGAUGAUAUUGAUGCAUGACCCGUUGUGCUAAAUGUGACUGCUUCUGUUAUGCCAUGCUCAUGUUUUACACUGAUGAAUUGUUGUGGUAAACUGAAUGUGAAUGGUGGUGAUAAAUUAGCCUUGCAGGUCUGCUAUGCAUUGCAAUUGGUGUUGUUAUGUGUAGAAUUGGUGAAUGCGUAUGGCAUGUGUUGUAUGGACUGCAUAGCUUGCUGUUACAUGAUAGAUGAAUGUUUGGGCUGUGAAUUGGCCAUUAAAUUCUGUCAGUCAUGAUUAUGAAAUGGAUGUGAGUUUUUCAAUGCCAUACCAUGUUGAAUGGUUUGUUGCUAGUGUAGGAAAAUUGCUUAUCUUGCCACUAGGUUGAUGGUUAUUUGUGAAUGAUAGUUAGUGAAUGAUGCUUGAAUGGCCCUACUAUGUUUUGUUGUUUUGUGUGCAGCCUGUUUGAUGAAUGUUGUAUGUUGACUGUAUGAUGUAUUGCUUGGUAGCAUGUAUGCAUGACAGGGUUGCUUGCUAAUGAAUUGAAAUCAUGCCAUGUUAAGAAUGGAAUGAAUGUAAAUGGAAUUGUGAUGUGAAUGAGUGCAAUGUUAUGGAUUUUGGGUCAAAUGUGGUUAAUGUAAUGAUGCAUUGCUUAGAAUAUUUUGCAAGGAUGAAACAUGUGUGCUUGGCAUUGACCAUGAUUGAAGCUUGGCAUGGAGGUUCAUGAUGGGAAUUUGAAGAAAUCCAAAGUUGUUUGCACAUGAAGAAAGUGCUUGGUCAUGGAAUCAAAUGGAAUGAAUGCAAGAAAAUUAAGAAUCAAUAGGUCAUUAGGGUUAGGAAUGUGGAAUUUAGGUCAGUGGACUUUGGUCAACUUGUUGACAAAAAAGUCAACAGUUGACCAGAAGUCAACUAUAGGUCAAACUUCAAUUUUUUGUAAUUAUGUAUGGAACUUUGUAAAUUGACUUGUAAGAUUGAAUGGACAACUUUGAAUAGAAAUCACCCUUUUAUGAUUUAAUACCAUGUUUUACUUUCAAAAUUGAAA
rnacentral:lncRNA from 1 species